rnacentral:rRNA from 1 species
AGCUUGCUCCCAGGCGUCGAGCGGCGGACGGGUGAGUAACGCGUAGGAAUCUACCCAGUAGUGGGGGAUAGCCCGGGGAAACUCGGAUUAAUACCGCAUACGCCCUACGGGGGAAAGGCCGGGAUCUUCGGACCGGUCGCUAUUGGAUGAGCCUGCGUUGGAUUAGCUAGUUGGUAGGGUAAAGGCCUACCAAGGCGACGAUCCAUAGCUGGUCUGGGAGGAUGAUCAGCCACACUGGAACUGAGACACGGUCCAGACUCCUACGGGAGGCAGCAGUGGGGAAUAUUGGACAAUGGGCGCAAGCCUGAUCCAGCCAUGCCGCGUGUGUGAAGAAGGCUCUAGGGUUGUAAAGCACUUUCAGUAGGGAGGAAGGCCAGAGUGUUAAUAGCGCUUUGGAUUGACGUUACCUACAGAAGCAGCACCGGCUAACUCCGUGCCAGCAGCCGCGGUAAUACGGAGGGUGCAAGCGUUAAUCGGAAUUACUGGGCGUAAAGCGCGCGUAGGCGGUUUGUUAAGUGUGAUGUGAAAGCCCAGGGCUCAACCUUGGAACUGCAUCACAUACUGGCAAGCUAGAGUACGGUAGAGGGGGGUAGAAUUCCAUGUGUAGCGGUGAAAUGCGUAGAGAUGUGGAGGAAUACCAGUGGCGAAGGCGGCCCCCUGGAUCGAUACUGACGCUGAGGUGCGAAAGCGUGGGGAGCA